AUUGAACGCUGGCGGCAGGCCUCACACAUGCAAGUCGAACGAGUGGCGGACGGGUGAGUAAUGUCUGGGAAACUGCCCGAUGGCGGGGGAUAACUACUGGAAACAGUAGCUAAUACCGCAUCCCAUAGGAUGUUCCCCGAUGGGCUUAGCUAGUAGGUGGGGUAACGGCUCACCUAGGCGACGGUCCCUAGCUGUGCUGAGAGGAUGACCAGCCACACUGGAACUGAGACACGGUCCAGACUCCGACGGGAGGCAGCAGUGGGGAAUAUUGCACAAUGGGCGCAAGCCUGAUGCAGCCAUGCCGCGUGUAUGAAGAAGGCCUUCGGGUUGUAAUGUACUUUCAGCGAGGAGGCGUUACUCGCAGAAGAAGCACCGGCUAACUCCGUGCCAGCCGCCGCGGUAAUAC
rnacentral:rRNA from 1 species